AUAAGAAGUCGUACCUGCCCAGUGAAAUUUAAACGGCCGCAGUACUCUGACUGUGCAAAGGUAGCAUAAUAAUUUGCCUUAUAAUUGAAGGCUGGAAUGAAUGGUUUGACAUGGAUAAAUCUGUCUCUAUUAAAACUUAUUAGAAUUUUAUUUUUAGGUGAAAAAACCUAGAUUUUAUUAAAAGACAAGAAGACCCUAUCGAGCUUUAAAAAAGUUAAUAGAAUACUAGUAACUAAAUAAAAACAAAACUAUUAAAAAUUUUGGUUGGGGCAACCUAGGAGCAUAAAAAGCCUCCUUUAAAACUAUAAACAUUAAGUUAUGAUCCAAAAACUUUGAUUAAAAGAAAUAGUUACCGUAGGGAUAACAGCAUUAUUUUUUUUAAGAGUUCUAAUCGAAAAAAAAGUUUGUGACCUCGAUGUUGGACCAGAAUAUCCUAAAGAUGCAGAAGUCUUUAAAGGUUGGUCUGUUCGACCAUUAAAAUUCUA
rnacentral:rRNA from 1 species